rnacentral:rRNA from 1 species
UACGUAGGGUGCAAGCGUUGUCCGGAUUUAUUGGGUUUAAAGGGUGCGCAGGCGGUUAAAUAAGUUAGUGGUGAAAUCGCCCCGCUUAACGGGGUACCCGCCAUUGAUACUGCUUAACUUGAGUGCGUCUGAGGAGGUUGGAAUGCGUGGUGUAGCGGUGAAAUGCAUAGAUAUCACGCAGAACACCGAUUGCGAAGGCAGACCUCUAAGGCGCAACUGACGCUGAGGCACGAAAGCGUGGGGAGCGAAC